rnacentral:rRNA from 1 species
CCUACGGGUGGCAGCAGUGGGGGAUAUUGCACAAUGGGGGAAACCCUGAUGCAGCGACGCCGCGUGGGCGAAGAAGUAUUUCGGUAUGUAAAGCCCUAUCAGCAGGGAAGAAGAAAUGACGGUACCUGAGUAAGAAGCACCGGCUAAAUACGUGACAGCAGCCGCGGUAAUACGUAUGGUGCAAGCGUUAUCCGGAUUUACUGGGUGUAAAGGGAGCGCAGGCGGCACGGCAAGCCUGAUGUGAAAGCCCGCGGCCCAACCGCGGGACUGCAUUGGGAACUGUGUUGCUGGAGUGCAGGAGGGGUAAGCGGAAUGCCUAGUGUAGCGGUGAAAUGCGUAGAUAUUAGGAGGAACACCGGUGGCGAAGGCGGCUUACUGGACUGUAACUGACGUUGAGGCUCGAAGGCGUGGGGAGCAAACAGGAUUAGAUACCCCAGUAGUC